ensembl:misc_RNA Metazoa_SRP Metazoan signal recognition particle RNA
GCCGGGCAUGGUGGCGCACGCCUGUAAUCCCAGCUACUCAGGAGGCUGAGGCAGGAGAAUCGCUUGAACCCAGGAAGCAGAGGUUGCAGUGAGCAGAGAUAGUGCCACUGCACUCCAGCCUGGGCAACAGAGUGAGACUCUGUCUCAA